GGCCCGUUGGAGAAACGGUUAACUCACAUGCCUUUCACGCAUGCAUUCAAGGGUUCAAAUCCCUUACGGGUCA
rfam:Tenericutes bacterium GWF2_38_8 gwf2_scaffold_13804, whole genome shotgun sequence.